rnacentral:rRNA from 1 species
CGCCUUGCCAGCCCGCUCAGAAACUCAAAGGAAUUGAGGGGCCCGGCACAAGCGGAGGAGCAUGUGGUUAAUUCGAUGAUACGCGAGGAACCUUACCUGGGCUCGAACGUAAGAUGACUGUAGGUGAAAGCUUACAUCUCUUCGGAGCAUUUUACGAGGUGCUGCAUGGUUGUCGUUAGCUCGUGCCGUGAGGUGUCGGGUUAAGUCCCAUAACGAGCGCAACCCCUACCUUUAGUUGCCAUCAGGUUAAGCUGGGGACUCUAAAGGAACUGCCUACGCAAGUAGUGAGGAAGGCGGGGAUGACGUCAAAUCAGCACGGCCCUUACGUCCAGGGCUACACACGUGCUACAAUGGCCGAUACAGAGGGCAGCUACCUGGUGACAGGAUGCAAAUCUCCAAAGUCGGUCUCAGUUCGGAUCGGAGUCUGCAACCCGACUCCGUGAAGUUGGAUUCGCUAGUAAUCGCGCAUCAGCCAUGGCGCGGUGAAUACGUUCCCGGGCCUU